rnacentral:rRNA from 1 species
AUAUCAAUAAGCGGAGGAAAAGAAACCAACAGGGAUUGCCCUAGUAACGGCGAGUGAAGCGGCAACAGCUCAAAUUUGAAAUCUGGCGCAAGCCCGAGUUGUAAUUUGUAGAGGAUGCUUCUAGGUAGCGACCGGUCUAAGUUCCUUGGAACAGGACGUCAUAGAGGGUGAGAAUCCCGUAUGUGACCGGCCCGCACCUUCCACGUAGCUCCUUCGACGAGUCGAGUUGUUUGGGAAUGCAGCUCUAAAUGGGAGGUAAAUUUCUUCUAAAGCUAAAUACCGGCCAGAGACCGAUAGCGCACAAGUAGAGUGAUCGAAAGAUGAAAAGCACUUUGGAAAGAGAGUUAAAAAGCACGUGAAAUUGUUGAAAGGGAAGCGCUUACAACCAGACUUCUGGGCGGUGUUCCGCCGGUCUUUUGACCGGUCUACUCUCCGUCCCGAGGCCAACAUCAUCUGGGACCGCUGGAUAAGACCUGAGGAAUGUAGCUCCCCUCGGGGAGUGUUAUAGCCUCUGGUGAUGCAGCGCGUCCCGGGUGAGGUCCGCGCUUCGGCAAGGAUGUUGGCGUAAUGGUUGUCAGCGGCCCGUCUUGAA